CGUGUUUUACGACAAACGGUGUAAGAAAAUUUGACUUUGACCAUUGGUCAAAAUUGAACUCCAUAUCUGUUUAUCCCGAAGUAAUAGCAAAGAAGAAGACAAAAGUGAAUUUUGAUCGAUUGAUAGUUGAUAGGGCCCUCCAACGGUUCUUCCAUCGCCGACGAAAGACAUCUCUCCAAAAUCAAUCGUGCAUUUAUGGAUAAGAAGAAUCCAGGCAAGAAGGUUUGUGAUGAGGACUCGACUCGGGAAUCGCUCAUUGCAAUAUCUUACUUAGCACCAGAGAAGGAACCUGCUUCUGGCUACAAACCUGAGGAUUUGACUAAGACUAAAAAUGGUGAGGGAGAUGACAUUUAUAGAUCUAAGCUGAUUUCAAUAUCUUACCAACAGUCACCAGACCCCAAAGAUCAACCUGGAGAAAUCAAGGGCAAGCUUAACUAGCUACUUCAUGUUUAGUCUGUGUGUAAAAACUGUGUUUUCAUGGUGUCAACUUCAUUCCAAUCAAUAUUACAGAAAACCCAACAUUAACUUGAAAUCAUCAAUGUGAAAAGCCUUAGCUUUUUUAUUUUUAAUAGUUGGUUUUCUUUUC